CAAUGUCAGAGUCUGCCUGCUCUUCCUCUUUCCUCGCGUACGUGCUGGGAGCGGGACGCGACAAGGACCACGGUCAAACUUUUAGGAAGAAGCAGCUGCCCUGAGGCCCCGUCACUGCGCUGUCACCCCUGCAUCUGUCUUGGAGCAGUGACGUCCUCCGUCAAUCGGGUCACUCAGGAGACCCCGCGCGGUGCUGAGAGGGGCGGAGCGGGGAAGCCAGAGCCAAGGGGGGUCUGGAGGGCAGACGUCCCACCCGCUGAGGACGCACGUGGGCAGGGCCCCGUCCCUCGGGGUGGCCGGGAGCUCCGAGCCUUUGCUCGGACACACCCCGGCCUCGCUGGCUCUGCGCUGGGCAGGUCACUGCGGGGGCGGCCUCCUCGGGCCACAGCUUCCGGAGCCCGAGCUGCUGGCUGAAGCUCUAGGAGGAAGAUCACGCGUGUCUCACUCACGCUUUCGGUGGGACGUUUUCUCAUCUGCAGUCACUGUUGAAACAGAGCAGGUACAGGAAGCUGUGUGCAAGCUUCAUCCACGCGGUUCAUGCAAACACACCCCUUUUACAGAAGAAAGUGCUUUCCGCUCCCGUGUGGACCCCGACCCUCUGAAGGGGGGAUCGCAGAGGUGGGGGCAGAAAGGCCUGGCUCGGCCGCCAGCAAACAUCACAGAGCAGCCUGCUCUCCGCCGGGCUGCCUCCACCCUGGGCACCUGGAAAUGUGCGUGGUGUCCUGACCAGGAGCAGAGCAGCUGCAGGGCGGUCACUUCUGCCUCGGUCCGAGGGGCCGGGACAUCCAGGGGCUUCUGCGUGCAGGUUGUCGGGUUCUGCAGGAGCUGGGAAGCUUGGCCCCUGCUCCUGGGACAAGCCUGGAAAUGGCGUAACGGACUCUGCACCCAUGGAGGUUGUCACCCCCUCGGUCAUUGUCCGCAGGUCUCCAGACCUCCACGAAGGUGACUGUGAAAGCCAGCCUCGGGUUGCUGAUUCUGGUCUAAGCGCUAGAGCCUUGAGGUUAGGCCAGCAGCUGAGUCGAAGGUGGGCGAGCUCGCCCUUCCCGGAUCCAGGCCCCUGGCAGAGUUCCUCGCGCUCCACCAGCUCCUCCACUUCCACCUUGCAGCAGCGCGCCGCUCAAGCUGCCAGAUAGCCCAAGUCUCGCUGUGUGUAGAUCCUGGCCCUAGAAGACAGAAAUGUUAUUUUCCACCCCCUUGGGGUGCCUCCUUCUGGCUGAACCUGGAACUCCAACUGUGUCAGGCCCAAGACAACAAAUCCAUGGCUCACAAAGGGGCGAUGGGGGGCGAGGCUGCCCAUUCUUGCCAUGUCUCCAGUGUGGUUUUAGAAGGUCCUGUGAAUACAUUGUUGAACUGAACAUCCAGAACAAGGAAAUCAGUGGCAAGUGCUGAAAAGGAAUGUCUUUGGAUGGUUACAGACCUGGUUCCCUCCCAGUCCUAAUCGCCACUCCCAGGAGACUGCCCCCAAAUUUCCUUUUGUGUCUUCAUUAAGUUGGGAAGAUAAUGUUACCUCAUGGGUUGAUGGAAAGAUUAGGGGUAAUUUUUGCCAUUUUUUCAAGCUAAGAUGCCAGAAUGUUGUAAGUAUACAUUUUAUGGCACUUAAUUGUAUGUGUUAAAACAAAUCACAAUGAUAUUGGGCAUCCUUGCUUAUUCUUAAGAAUGAAUUUCUUGUCUUAAUCGAACAUUAAUAUUUUUGGUGAUGGUUUUU